rnacentral:rRNA from 1 species
GAGCACGUAGGUGGGUUUGUAAGUCAGAUGUGAAAUCCCUCGGCUUAACCGGGGAACUGCGUUUGAUACUGCGGUCCUUGAGUACAGGAGGGGAGAGUGGAAUUCCUGGUGGAGCGGUGAAAUGCGUAGAUAUUAGGAAGAACGCCGGAGGCGAAAGCGACUCUCUGGCCUGUUACUGACGCUGAGGUGCGAAAGCCAAGGGAGCGAACAGGAUUAGAUACCCUGGUAGUCUUGGCUGUAAACGAUGGGCACUAAGUAGAGGGGUUUU